rnacentral:rRNA from 1 species
UGCAAGUGUUAUCCGGAUUCACUGGGUUUAAAGGGUGCGUAGGUGGGCAGGCAAGUCGGUGGUGAAAUCUCCGGGCUUAACCCGGAAACUGCCAUUGAUACUAUCUGUCUUGAAUACCGUGGAGGUGAGCGGAAUAUGUCAUGUAGCGGUGAAAUGCUUAGAUAUGACAUAGAACACCAAUUGCGAAGGCAGCUCACUACACGAAUAUUGACACUGAGGCACGAAAGCGUGGGGAUCAAACAGG